UCGCGCACAGCCGUUUGAAGGGCGGUCCUCGUGCAGAAAAAGGAAAGUUUGGAUCAGUGAGCGGCGCAGUUUCGGUGGACGGACACAACAAUAUCUGGACUAUUUCUGGUUAAAAGUCUUUAAAAGGGUAUGUGUUUAGUUGUUUAGUAAGCUUAUAUUUUUGUUAAUUAUUCUGCGUGUUCAUAUAAAGUCUAGCCAACUUGUAUUGGCGUGUUUUUUGAUUGAUAGCUCAGCGGAGAUUAUCGACACAUUCAUGGCUUUGAUAGCGGCUGACCAGAGCUGCAAGCUGAACGGGACUUACGGCAGAGUUGGGCCGAGAAAAGAAGCCUUUCAGGGUAAAACUGCCAAAAUGCAGCAGAAAGAGACAGAGUAUUCAACAGACGGCCUGCCAAAAGCCUUCCUGCAAAGUUUGAGGACCCUGUUUGACAUUUUGGAUGACGGUCGACGGGGCUAUGUCCACAUCUCCGAGAUAGAGAGCCGCUGGCAGGGCGCAGACACCCGGGACCUGCCCGGUGGAGUGCUGGGCUGCCUCAGGAGAGUCACCCCGCCGCAUGGCUGCCUCACCUUUGAGCGGUUCGUUGCGGGGCUGCGGUACUCCAUGCUCAACCCGGAGAACAGCUCUCACUUCAAGGCCCAGGCUGCCGUGCAUCCACAGCAGGCAGCAAAGCAGAACCAGAAGCCCACAUGCAGUGUUGGGACACGGGUUGAGAGCAAGGUCCGUCCACUGGGGCUGAGCAACGUGACCAACACUCUGCAGCACCGGGCAUCCUCGCUGCAGAGCCGGGCCAGGCCACCAGAGGAGGGGGCUGGGUACCCCGUGUGUGGACCGGCCCCGUACAGCGCGGGCUUCGAGAGGUCAGGGAGGAGUGUGGAGCGGAGUUCAGUCGCUCCAGGGAGCGGGUGUUAUCGAGCCGACCCGGGCCAUGCCAACAAGCCAGCACAGCCCCAGCAGAGCCGGGUCAGGUCCAUUGAGUCGCUCGCUUUGGAGUCACCGCAGCUCCAUGGACCAAGUGUUGUGAAAUCAGGUUUACCAAGAUCUCAGAGUGAAUCGGCAACAGGAUUUAUAGGCGGCUCGAGGCGACACGGGCGGAGUCGGGAAGAGCAGAGGCGGCAUACCAUAACGAAUGGAGUGGAUUAUGGAAUGUUGAAGCAAAUGAAAGAGCUGGAGCAGGAGAAGGACUCGCUGCUGGCGGGCCUGGAAGUGGUGGAGCGGGCCCGAGACUGGUACCAGGGCCAAAUCCACAAUGUCACAGAGAGACAGCGGCAGGUCGGACAGAGCUCCCACUGCACGGAUUUCUUCACAGAAGCUAAUCAGAGUCGCAUGAAUGUUCUAAUACCCAAAUUGCAAGAAGUCAACCGCUGCCUUAAUGACCUUAUUUCCUGCACUGGGAUGCAGUCAUUUCCUUCUAGCACUGCUCAGACAGCUGCGCUCUCGGCUAACGCCCAGCCUCCCGGUCCAGCUCCUCCACAAGCCAUCCAGAGACUGAAGGACCAGAACCGACUUCUCACACAGGAGGUGACAGAGAGGAGCGAGCGGAUCGCCCAGCUGGAGCAGGAGAAGUCUGCCUUGAUAAAACAGCUUUUUGAAGCUCGAGCCCGCAGCGCGCAAGACACCAGCACCAUGGAUUCCACCUUCAUCUGAGACUAAUUACACUCCAUGCAGCACCGUAACAUCACCACGUUUCAGCCACGAGUCAUCAUGACACUGGCCUGGAGCUAAAAAACUUUUAGAAGACUGAACCGGUCUGUUGUUUACCCACACCUGUAGCAGUGAUGCACCUUUAGCCAUGACACAGCGACACCCUCAGCUGCAGCAGCAAUGUGACCACUCCACCCCAAAACCAAACAUGCACUACCUAGAUGUGAACACUCCAGAGGAGGAAUAGCUGUUAUGGCUAUAGUUUUGUUUUGUUUUUUGCCUUCACAUUUCCUGCAUGAACGCUCAAACUGAAAAGACUGGCAGGACAGAAAACAGUUGGGUCUCGUGAGAUCCCAUCACUCCCAUCACAGCAUCUGCAAGAUCUCCACCACCACUACCCAAGAGGCUUCUGCUUUUUACUUCUGCUGCUCAACUGCACAAGCAAUGGGGGAAAAAAACAUGAUCUUAGUGGUCCAAACAAAGGCAACAAGGGGAUUGAAAAAAAAGAGAUGGGAGGACAGCCUUCAAGCCAUCGAGAUGUUAGAGGCAGAGACAAAGACGAGGAGAGAAGAUUGCAUGUAGAACAGAAGGAGGAAGACGAACAUGGUAGACGGUGAAUGUGACGGAGCUGAAGCUCCUAGGUUGGGAGAUCUUCUGAUGUCAGGUCAGAAAAAAAAUAAAGAAAAAAUCACUUUGGCUAUCUAGUGCUACAUCCCCUGUAUGUUAUGUAGUCGUGUUUUCAGCUCAUAAGUAUUUAUCUUCUGAAGAUUUCUGUUUGAAACUUGGAGAUUAAACGAUAGCACAGAUGUAAAAUAAAAAAAACAUUUUGUCCUUGUAAGUGUCUUUACCAGGUUGGCUUUAGACUAAAACUGUAAAAAAAAACAUUUAGCCAUCCACGAGUUUACAAGAGAAAUAUUUAGUUAGUGGGUGGCGGUAGUUGUAGUUUUAUAAAGGAUCUGUAUGGUACUGCUGGGAUGACCACACUUAACAUAUUGUUGAUGUCUGCUUCCCACUUGAUUGUAUUGUUUCUUGCUGCUCAAACUACAUUAUGUGUGAGUGAAACUCUUUUCCUUCUGCUUUCUUUUGAGAAUACUCAAAGUUCAGAGGAAAAUAAUAAAUACAAACACAACAAAACACAAACACUGACUGUUGCUCUGU